rnacentral:rRNA from 1 species
UACAGAGGUCCCGAGCGUUGUUCGGAUUCACUGGGCGUAAAGGGUGCGUAGGUGGUGAGGAAAGUCGGAUGUGAAAUCUCCAAGCUCAACUUGGAAAUGGCAUUGGAAACUACCUUGCUGGAGGUUUGGAGGGGGACUGGAAUUCGUCGGUGUAGCAGUGAAAUGCGUAGAUAUCGAGAGGAACACCAGUGGCGAAGGCGAGUCCCUGGACAAAACCUGACACUGAGGCACGAAAGCUAGGGGAGCAAACAGG